GCGUUCGUAGCUCAGUUGGAUAGAGCGUUGGCCUCCGGAGUCAAAGGUCGCAGGUUCAAAUCCUGUCGAGCGCGUCA
rnacentral:tRNA from 1 species